rnacentral:rRNA from 1 species
GUAGGUGGCAAGCGUUGUCCGGAAUUAUUGGGCGUAAAGCGCGCGCAGGCGGUUCUUUAAGUCUGAUGUGAAAGCCCACGGCUCAACCGUGGAGGGUCAUUGGAAACUGGAGAACUUGAGUACAGAAGAGGAAAGCGGAAUUCCACGUGUAGCGGUGAAAUGCGUAGAGAUGUGGAGGAACACCAGUGGCGAAGGCGGCUUUCUGGUCUGUAACUGACGCUGAGGCGCGAAAGCGUGGGGGAGCAAACAGGGUUAGAUACCCUGGUAGUCCACGCCGUAAACGAUGAGUGCUAAGUGUUAGGGGGUUUCCGCCCCCCUUAGUGCUGCAGCUAACGCAUUAAGCACUCCGCCUGGGAGUACGGCCGCAAGGCUG